CAGUCGCCACGGUAAUACGGAGGGUGCAAGCGUUAAUCGGAAUUACUGGGCGUAAAGCGCACGCAGGCGGUUUGUUAAGUCAGAUGUGAAAUCCCCGAGCUUAACUUGGGAACUGCAAUUGAAACUGGUAAGCUAGAGUCUUGUAGAGGGGGGUAGAAUUCCAGGUGUAGCGGUGAAAUGCGUAGAGAUCUGGAGGAAUACCGGUGGCGAAGGCGGCCCCCUGGACAAAGACUGACGCUCAGGUGCGAAAGCGUGGGGAGCAAACAGGAUUAGAUACCCCGGUAGUCCCUGUCUCUUAUAC
rnacentral:rRNA from 1 species